rnacentral:rRNA from 1 species
ACGGCUCAGUAACACGUUGAUAAUCUGACCUUAGGUCAGGGAUAACCUCGGGAAACUGAGGCUAAAACCUGAUAAGAAACUUGUUCUGGAAAGAAGUGUUUCUUAAAAGCAAUGCCUAAGGGUGAGUCAGCGGCCGAUUAGGUUGUUGGUGGGGUAAAGGCCCACCAAGCCUGUGAUCGGUAGGGGCCUUGAAAGAGGUUGCCCCGAGAGGGGAACUGAGAUACUGUCCCUAGCCCCACGGGGUGCAGCAGGCGCGAGAACUCUACAAUGCACGAAAGUGUGAUAGGGGAACCCUGAGUGCUCAGUUAUACUGGGCUUUUGCCAAGAGUAAAAAUCUUGGCGAAUAAGUGGUGGGUAAGACGGGUGCCAGCCGCCGCGGUAACACCCGCGCCACAAGUCGCAAUCGCUAUUAUUGGGCCUAAAGCGUCCGUAGCAGGUUCUGUAAAUCUUUUGUGAAAUUGUUGCGCUCAACGUAACAGCGGGCAAGAGACACUGCAGAACUUGGGAUCGGGAGGAGUCAGAGGUAUUUUUUGGGGAGCGGUAAAAUGCUAUAAUCCAAGAAGGACCACCGAUGGCGAAAGCAUCUGACUAGAACGAAUCCGACUGUGAGGGACGAAAGCUAGGGGAGCGAACCGGAUUAGAUACCCGAGUAGUCCUAGCCGUAAACGCUGUGAGCUAGGUGUUGCGCAAUCUUCGAGAUUGCGCAGUAUCGAAGUGAAGACGUUAAGCUCACCGCCUGGGAAGUACGGUCGCAAGGCUGAAACUUAAAGGAAUUGGCGGGGGAGCAC